GACGAACGCUGGCGGCGUGCUUAACACAUGCAAGUCGAACGAUGAAACCUAGCUUGCUAGGUCGAUUAGUGGCGAACGGGUGAGUAACACGUGACUAACCUGCCCCUUUCUCUGGGAUAACGCUCCGAAAGGAGUGCUAAUACCGGAUACUCACAUCGAGGCACAUGCCUUGGUGUGGAAAGUUUUUCGGAAAGGGAUGGAGUCGCGGCCUAUCAGCUUGUUGGUGAGGUAACGGCUCACCAAGGCGACGACGGGUAGCCGGCCUGAGCGGGCGACCGGCCACACUGGGACUGAGACACGGCCCAGACUCCUACGGGAGGCAGCAGAGGGGAAUAUUGCACAAUGGGCGCAAGCCUGAUGCAGCGACGCCGCGUGAGGGAUGAAGGUCUUCGGAUUGUAAACCUCUUUCAGUAGGGACGAAGCGAAAGUGACGGUACCUAAAGAAGAAGCACCGGCUAACUACGUGCCAGCCGCCGCCGUAA
rnacentral:rRNA from 1 species